rnacentral:lncRNA from 1 species
GUUUUCCCAGGGCAUGGAAAGGACAGGGCUCCCAGUGGAGAUAUCAUGUAGCUAUAGGGCCUAGAAGUAUUUUUUCAGUAGAUGAAAUUUAGAAAUAAUUUGAAUAUUUUAUGCUGGGGAGGUAGCUUGUGGAGUGAAAUGGUCGGGUAAAGGAAACACUGAGUUCAAGUGCUUCUUUAUAAAGGACACUUAACUGAUCUAAAUAUUUGUCAAGCUGAAUCGCUACAUCCACUCUCACCUGCCUGAAAUCAAUAUGCUCAAGUCAAACGCAUUUGCCUGCAUCUGAAUGUGGAGAAUGAACUUCUUAAAGCUGAACUGGCAGCUGGAAGGGGAGAGAGAAGAGCUGGACAGGGAGCCAGGACACCGGAGUUCUUUUCCACUGUGGUGGGAUCUGGAAGAAGCUGUUGAAUCUCUGUAGAGUUAGCUUUUAAAUGCUGUGAGUCUUUGGAAAGCUGUGCGAAUAACUGCUAAACACCCAGGACAGCUUAUGCAUUUUUUGAAAAAGGCUUGAAUUCUCAGGCAGUGAAUGCACUACCGUGUGCAGAAGGCAAGGACAUGGCUGAGCAUGUUGUUUUCUUCACCUUAUAUGGAGCUUCCUUAACAGGUUCCUGGUGCUGGUUCCAGCAGAAUAGACACAGAGAUGCAUGGCCUAACUCCCACUCCCUCUUCAGGACUGAGCCACGCAGCCCCCCAUCUGCCAGAAGUGUUAGCUGUUGACGGCUCACAGCUGAGUCCCUCUCCAGGCAUUGCUGAAAAGAGCCACCUUGCUCUAGGAUGUGCCCCCACCCUGGGGGCAGCAUACAUUCCAAGUGAUUAGUCCAUAGUGUGGUACAAAGGUUGUACCCAUCUUGCCUGAAUUCAGGAUCUCUUGGAAAACCACCCCAGCUCUGCAGCUCCUGGUGGGGUGCUGAGGCCUCUGCUGCAGCUGCAUCGCAGUUUACUUUCCCCUCUGCCUAGUCCUGCUGCCUUCACUCCCCAACAGGUAUUGUUCCCCAGAGAACUCCCUGCCCCCAGUCACCUGUAAGCAAAUCUCCACUGCAGUCUGUGGCCUGGGAAACCUGCUCUAGGAUCCCAAAGUGAACACAGCUUCCCAUUGAAAUGUGUCUUUGGGUGUUAAUCUGUCCUGCCAUCUUUACAUCUAAUCAAGAGGUAGAGCUUCCCCUGGUGUUCCUGCUGGGUACAUAAAGGAUCUUUUCCAUUGUCU